rnacentral:RNase_P_RNA from 2 species
GAAGCUGGCCAGACAGCCGCUGCGUGCCGCGAGGCACGGAGAGGAAAGUCCGGGCUCCAAAGGGUAGGGUGACGGGUAACACCCGUCCGCCGCAAGGCGAGGAACAGGGCCACAGAGACGAGUCUUGGGGCGCAAGCACCAAGGGUGAAACGCGGCAACCUCCACUCGGAGCAACACCAAAUAGGCAAGCGAUGACGCGACCCGCCGAGCUUGCGGGUAGGUGGCUUGAGCCCUGGAGCAAUCCAGGGCCUAGAGGAAUGGCUGUCCACGACAGAACCCGGCUUACCGGCCAGCUUGCCUU